rnacentral:rRNA from 1 species
AUUAACGCUAGCGGCAGGCAUAAUACAUGCAAGUUGAACGGCAGCACAGGUAGCGAUACUGGGUGGCGAGUGGCGCACGGGUGCGUAACACGUAUGCAACCUACCCUAUACAGGCGAAUAACCUUUAGAAAUGAGGGCUAAUACGCCGUAGUAUUACAGAUGGGCAUCUAUUUGUAAUUAAAGAUUUAUCGGUAUAGGAUGGGCAUGCGUCCCAUUAGUUAGUUGGUAAGGUAACGGCUUACCAAGACGAUGAUGGGUAGGGG